CCGAAUUCCAUUUUUGUUGCCGUCGAUUAAUCUGAAUUCUUAUCAGUUACAAUUCUCCGACGACCUUCCCGGAGGAUAACUUUUGUACAGAAUUCGCCAAUUUCAUUGGCAAAGUAACUUCUUUCCUUUUAUUAAAUCAAUGCCUCGGUAUUUCUGUGACUAUUGUGACACUUACUUGACACAUGAUUCGCCUUCUGUCAGAAAACAGCAUAAUGCCGGUUACAAACACAAGGCUAAUGUACGGUCUUAUUAUCUGAAGCUUGAGGAGGAGCAAACACAGAUUCUGAUAGAUCAGAAAAUCAAGGAGCGCCUUGGGCAGGCAGUAGCCUACCAGCAAAUAGGUGCAGCUUAUAAUCAACAUCUUGCUGCCUUCCCUGGUCAAAGACCCCGCCUACCUAUGAUGCCACCUCCUAUGCUGCCUGUUCCAGGAGUGAUGCCCCCACAAUUAAUGGCAGGUGCCAGACCUCCCAUUUUGCCUGUUCCAGUUCUUGGUGCUCCAGGUUAUUCAGCAGUUCCUCCAACUGCACCAACUGCAGGGCAGAUGCCACCUGUUGCAUCCUUGCCGAUGCAACUCAAUGCUUUUCCAGCUCCUCCUGCACUGAAUCCCCUUGUAGGUGUUCCAGGUGGAGCCCCUCCACCUAGUGUAGGCAGCGCCCCUUUUCCUGCUACACAAUCAAUGUACCAGCCAAAUCCCAAUGGAAUUGCUGCCUCUUCUGCUAAUGAGACAACAACCAGCUAAGUUUGUACUCAAGCCAGUGAUAUUUUGACCAUCUUCUGUGUUCUCAGUAGGAUAUUAUGGCUUCUUAAGGCGUACCGGUACUGAACAUCAUCAAGUUCUCCUGAUAAUUGUAGAGAAGAGAGAACUUUUGCUUCUAGGAAGAAUAUCAUGUCCUUGAUCUGAUUUAAUGAGUAUUUGCUGGUUCUCAUGUAUUGUACCUUAAAUCUCAAAAAAGGAAACUCGGACUUGUUAGUGCUGAACUACUCUGCCAA
rnacentral:misc_RNA from 1 species